UACGUCUAAACCGUUACACACUCUAUAUAUAAACGAAGGAAGAUCACACGUGAAAAUAGUCAUCAACCAAAGUAAGAAGCGCACACACACAACAUAUUUCUUUCACUACCCAAAGAGAUGGCGACAUCGGGAACAUAUGUGACGGAGGUUCCAUUGAAAGGAUCGGCGGAUAAACACUACAAGCGGUGGAGAGAUGAGAACCACCUCUUCCCCGAUGCCAUCGGCCACCACAUCCAAGGUGUCACUGUCCACGACGGUGAAUGGGACUCUCAUGAAGCCAUCAAGAUUUGGAACUAUACAUGCGGUAAAAAUACAUUUAUAUGGAAUCCAAAGAAUGGUGCUAACUUAAUGAAUGAAACAAAUAUGUACGCAUAUAUGUGCAGAUGGGAAACCGGAAGUGUUCAAGGAAAGGAAAGAGAUAGACGAUGAGAAUAUGGUGAUAACGUUCAGAGGACUAGAAGGUCACGUCAUGGAGCAGCUUAAAGUGUAUGAUCUCAUAUAUCAGUUCAGCCAAAAGUCUCCCGAUGAUAUCGUAUGCAAGAUCACAAUGAUUUGGGAGAAGCGAACCGAUGAUUCGCCUGAGCCUAGCAACUACAU
rnacentral:sRNA from 1 species